AACGCACGAGACCUGCGGACCUGCGGAAGGAUCAUUACAGGACUCGCAAGACUCCUACAACCCUGUGAACUUAACUAUAAGCACGUUGCUUCGGCGGGUGUCUCGGCGAGGGUUCUCCCUCCCCGGGGCGCUAAGCCCGCCGGCAGCCUACUAUACUCUGUCUCUUUGCGUUGGCAUCUCGAGUACAAACAAACAAGUUAAAACUUUUAGCAAUGGAUCUCUAGAUCGGAAGAGCACACG
rnacentral:misc_RNA from 1 species